UCAAAGGGCGCAAUGACUUAGAAACGUGGACAGCUUUGUUAGAGAGAUGGCAGGGAUCUCGGAGCACUCGGACAGGCGACAGGCGGCCCGGCACGAACGUGUGCGCAUCUGUGCAACUCCUCUUAAUAUUUCAACUUUUUUCUGAAUCGACUGUGACUUUAGUGACAUUGCUGAAAGGAAGGUUACCAGCUGGGGGGAAAAAUACUUCUCAGCUCGCUCAGAAGAGAGAACAGUCACCAGUGGGUGACUCCCCUUGGUCUCAGAUGAGCAGCGUUUUGCACUCACAAUCACGGACGUUGUCACCCAGCUUUAGAUUGUCUCUGAGUGGAAGGAAGACACAGCCAGACUCGGGGAUAAUUAUUACCCUGACAAAGAUGUUAUUCUUGCAUCCAGAAGGAGAGUUACAGCAGCACAGCUGUCUCCAGUAUCGAGUGAAAGCUUUUUUUCCAUGUUACAGUUCAAAUGGCAAUUAAUUUUCUUGAUAAGCUUAAACUAACCUUUAUUUCCGAGAGGAAAAGAACUUGUUGUACAAAACGUCUCCUAACCUGACAUUUACUAAGUAUAAUUGGGUACCUUUUCUGGAAGAAACUAAAGGCACUUCUUACAAGCCUCCCACAGCAUUGUGUGAAUUUUGCUUAAAGCGCGGCUAGGCAUAUCGCCCCCUACGGUGCAGGCUGACUAAGCGUUUCGGUUACGACGACUCGUUUUCAGAUGCUCAUCCUUUUCUCCAAGCUUGACCUUUGUGACUGAACCCUGCUAUGCUUCCUCGAAAUCAGGGGGAAAUUUCCUUCUGAAAGUUUUUAUCUUAUAUUUGGCCCAUUUGCAAGCACAAAAGACAUGGGCAAAUGCAAGUUUUCUGCCUAAUACAUUUUGUUGUAAUCCUUUUCUGAGUACCCUCUGGCCCCAUGAGGAAGGGCG